GGUCCUAACCCUGCCAUGGGCACCAGGCUCCUCUGCUGCCUAACUUUCUGUCUCCUGGGGACAGAUCACACCAAAGCUGGAGUCUGCCAGUCCCCCAGGAACAGAGUCUCAGAGAGAGGACAGGAUGUCGCUUUCAAGUGUGAUCCCAUUUCUGAACACACCCAACUUUGCUGGUACCGAGAGACACUGGGGAAGGGCCUGGAGUUUCUGAUGUAUUUUCAGGAUGAUUUUGCAUCAGACACAUCAGGGAUGCUUAAAGAUCAAUUCUCUGCUGAGAGGCCCGAGGGAUCCUCCCCCAUUCUGAAGAUCCAGCACACAGAGCAGGGGGACUCGGCCGUGUAUCUCUGCCAGCAGCUCAGCCACAACAUGGCACCGUCCCUUCCUUCCUCUCCACAAACCCUCAUGUGCUACCUCUCCUCAUGGCUCCCAGGAUCCCGAAUAAAGAAGUUGCCUGCUCUUCCCUCAUCAAGGGGAACAAGUGCUAUGGGUUCUGCCAUUCUUCUGACAGGAGGAGGUCAGGAAACAACCUUCCACAUACUGGAACAGAUAACAUUGGGUAGCGAUAAUUUUGGCUCAUGGAUUUCUAGGAUUCUUUUACACAGUUCAAGAUUCUACAAUUGUGAUCGACUAUCAGAGUUUAGUGUCAAGGGUAGUGAAAUAUUCUCAGUUAAAACUAUAAAAUUUUUGCAUAUUUACAAUAAACGCCUAUUACUGACGUCCUUAACUCAGACCACACUAUGUCCAGCUGUGGGUUAGCCAAUACAGAACUCUGUAAGGCCACGCGCAGCC